rnacentral:lncRNA from 1 species
UCAGGUAACUAAUUAAUUCAGUUAUUGCAUGUUAUCAGUUUCUUUUUCUUUUCUUACUGUAAUCUAUUAGCAACUCCGACUUUAAGAUUUUUAUGCUUUAAUGGCUGAACACACACCAAAAUUACGAACAAAUAAGGGUAUAAUACCUAUUAAUUUACCGUCUAAUUUUUUUAGUCUUGAAUUAACUCAAGAGGAAGUAGUUAAAGUUGUUUCUAGUCCUAUACAGUCGAAGAAAUUUAUGAGUACGAAGGAGCUUAGAUCCAAGUUUCGUAACCACCUGGUGAAGAUGGCUGAUAUUUAAAAAAAAAAUCAUUGAAAAAAGUUUCUUCUCCAAAAGAUAAAAAAUUAAAAAAAUAUGAGAAGAAAAGAAAAGCAAAAGAAAUUGCAGAGUCAAGCAAUGGUG